rnacentral:rRNA from 1 species
CGGCAGCCCGAGUGGUGAUCAUUAUUAUUGGGCCUAAAACGUCCGUAGCCGGUUUAGUAAAUGCCUGGGUAAAUCGUGUAGCUUAACUAUACGACUUCCGGGUAGACUGCUAAACUUGAGACCGGGAGAGGCUAGAGGUACUCCUGGGGUGGAGGUGAAAUUCUGUAAUCCUAGGGGGACCACCAGUGGCGAAGGCGUCUAGCUAGAACGGGUCUGACGGUGAGGGACGAAGCCCUGGGGCACAAACCGGAUUAGAUACCCGAGUAGUCC